CUAUUCGUAUGGUUUUUCCUAUUCGGCUGUUUACGGCAUUCAUAUGGUUUCCAUACACUCAACAACAAAACACUGCUGGACAAUUUAAGAUGGCUGCCGCCACAUGUUUGAAAGGGGAAUUGUGCUAAGUUCCAAUAUGCACAAAUAGUGUUUUUAAAAGGCAAUAUACCCCAGGGACCAUAGUCACAGUGCAAGAGGCUGACAAGCAGGCCUCUCCAAAACCCAGUGGCGAGGUUACUUUCGCCACAAUACCUCUGGCAAAAAUAUCUGCAUAGAUGAGUCAAAUUUAAGAUUCAGGAGAAGACUGCUUUUCAAGCAGUACGUCCCAUCCAAGCUGACUUUUGGUACAAAAUUGUAGCUGUG